CGUUAUGGGCGAGUGAGGGGUUACGGCGUUGGAGUUACCCCCACUCAGUUAUCUUCAGUGGGCACAUAUACAAGAAAUGCUAGAGAAUCUAGUAACACUGCAGAAGUUCGUCAUCUUCAAGCAACUAUUGAAGAGCUGAAGCAAAACCAAGCAAAUUUGCAAGCUCAGCUUACGAAUAUUUCAUCAAUGUUACAACGAUUUCUCCCUUCUCAAAUUCCUGAUACUUCAAACGCUUGUAGAGAUGAUGAUGGAGCUGAAUCCCAUCCCUGAUGCAUUCUAGAUUAUCUUUUAUGAGUUUGAUAUGUAUAUGUUUUUUAUUUUUCAGAGUACAUUGUAAUUUGAAACUUUGUAAGCAAAUUUUUAAUCAGAUAUUACAAUAUUCACAUUUCGAAUGA